GACGAACGCUGGCUGCGUGCUUAACACAUGCAAGUCGAACGGAAAGGCCCUGCUUUUGUGGGGUGCUCGAGUGGCGAACGGGUGAGUAACACGUGAGUAACCUGCCCUUGACUUUGGGAUAACUUCAGGAAACUGGGGCUAAUACCGGAUAGGAGCUCCUGCUGCAUGGUGGGGGUUGGAAAGUUUCGGCGGUUGGGGAUGGACUCGCGGCUUAUCAGCUUGUUGGUGGGGUAGUGGCUUACCAAGGCUUUGACGGGUAGCCGGCCUGAGAGGGUGACCGGCCACAUUGGGACUGAGAUACGGCCCAGACUCCUACGGGAGGCAGCAGUGGGGAAUAUUGCACAAUGGGCGGAAGCCUGAUGCAGCAACGCCGCGUGCGGGAUGACGGCCUUCGGGUUGUAAACCGCUUUCGCCUGUGACGAAGCGUGAGUGACGGUAAUGGGUAAAGAAGCACCGGCUAACUACGUGCCAGCAGCCGCGGUGAUACGUAGGGUGCGAGCGUUGUCCGGAUUUAUUGGGCGUAAAGGGCUCGUAGGUGGUUGAUCGCGUCGGAAGUGUAAUCUUGGGGCUUAACCCUGAGCGUGCUUUCGAUACGGGUUGACUUGAGGAAGGUAGGGGAGAAUGGAAUCCCUGGUGGAGCGGUGGAAUGCGCAGAUAUCAGGAGGAACACCAGUGGCGAAGGCGGUUCUCUGGGCCCUUCCUGACGCUGAGGAGCGAAAGCGUGGGGAGCGAACAGGCUUAGAUACCCUGGUAGUCCACGCUGUAAACGGUGGGUACUAGGUGUGGGGUCCAUUCCACGGGUUCCGUGCCGUAGCUAACGCUUUAAGUACCCCGCCUGGGGAGUACGGCCGCAAGGCUAAAACUCAAAGGAAUUGACGGGGCCCCGCACAAGCGGCGGAGCAUGCGGAUUAAUUCGAUGCAACGCGUAGAACCUUACCUGGGUUUGACAUGGAUCGGGAGUGCUCAGAGAUGGGUGUGCCUCUUUUGGGGUCGGUUCACAGGUGGUGCAUGCCUGUCGUCAGCUCGUGUCGUGAGAUGUUGGGUUAAGUCCCGCAACGAGCGCAACCCUUGUUCACUGUUGCCAGCACGUUAUGGUGGGGACUCAGUGGAGACCGCCGGGGUCAACUCGGAGGAAGGUGGGGAUGACGUCAAGUCAUCAUGCCCCUUAUGUCCAGGGCUUCACGCAUGCUACAAUGGCUGGUACAGAGAGUGGCGAGCCUGUGAGGGUGAGCGAAUCUCGGAAAGCCGGUCUCAGUUCGGAUUGGGGUCUGCAACUCGACCUCAUGAAGUCGGAGUCGCUAGUAAUCGCAGAUCAGCAACGCUGCGGUGAAUACGUUCCUGAGGG
rnacentral:rRNA from 1 species